CCAGUAGAAACUUCAUGUUCUCCUGUGGAUCGGGUAUAGACUGAGCUUGCACGAUCAGGAUUGUCUUGCUGGAAAAUUGAACACCGUUUGCAAAAGCGUUUGACCAUGUGUUUUCGGAAGAACACUGAGAGAUAACUCCGGAACUUCUCUCCAACAAAGGCAUAGAUGACAGGGUUUAGGCAGCAGUGUGUCAUUCCAAGAGUCUCUGUUGCCUGCAUGGCCUGGUCUAGUCUAUUAGAACUACUGCAGUUAUUCAGUCCAAAGAAUUCCUGGAAGGUGGUCAGGAGGAGGACAAUGUUGUAGGGAGUCCAGAAGAGAAAGUAGACAAUCAUGAUGGCAAAGAUGAGCCUCACAGCCCUGUGCCUCUUCUUCUCAUUCCUACAGCGAAACAGGGUGUGGAGAAUUCCUGAGUAGCAGAUGACCAUGACAAGUAGAGGCAGGAUCAGGCUCAAGAUGACCAUCUUUAAUGUUUGGAAACUCUUCCAGAAAUGAUACUGAGUGUGUGGAAAAUGAGGACUGCAUGUAUAAUGAAAACCUUCUUUCUGAGAUCUGGUAAAGAUUAUUUCUGGGAGAGAGGCAAACACAGCCACCACCCAAGUGACUACACUUGUUAUCACCCCAAAGGUAACUGUCCUGGCUUUUAAAGCAAACACAGCAUGAAC
rnacentral:lncRNA from 1 species